rnacentral:rRNA from 1 species
AGUCAAGUAAUUAAGUGCAUGUGGUGGAUGCCUUGGCAGUCAGAGGCGAUGAAAGACGUGAUAGCCUGCGAAAAGCUCCGGGGAGGCGGCAAAUAUCCUUUGAUCCGGAGAUGUCUGAAUGGGGGAACCCACCUACUUUAAGGUAGGUAUUGCAACAUGAAUACAUAGUGUUGCAAGGCGAACGAGGGGAAGUGAAACAUCUCAGUACCCUUAGGAAAAGAAAUCAAUUGAGAUUCCCUCAGUAGCGGCGAGCGAACGGGGAUCAGCCCAUUAAGUUAUGUGUGUUUUAGUGGAACGCUCUGGGAAGUGCGAACGUAGAGGGUGAUAUUCCCGUACACGAAAGGGCACACAUAAUGAUGACGAGUAGGGCGAGGCACGUGAAACCUUGUCUGAAUAUGGGGGGACCAUCCUCCAAGGCUAAAUACUCCUGACUGACCGAUAGUGAACCAGUACCGUGAGGGAAAGGCGAAAAGAACCCCUGUGAGGGGAGUGAAAUAGAUCCUGAAACCGCAUGCAUACAAGCAGUGGGAGCACCUUCGUGGUGUGACUGCGUACCUUUUGUAUAAUGGGUCAGCGACUUAUAUUCAGUAGCGAGGUUAACCGUAUAGGGGAGCCGUAGAGAAAUCGAGUCUUAAUAGGGCGUUUAGUUGCUGGGUAUAGACCCGAAACCAGGCGAUCUAUCCAUGAGCAGGUUGAAGGUUGGGUAACACUAACUGGAGGACCGAACCCACUGUCGUUGAAAAGCCAGGGGAUGACUUGUGGAUAGGGGUGAAAGGCUAAUCAAGCCUGGUGAUAGCUGGUUCUCCCCGAAAGCUAUUUAGGUAGCGCCUCGGACGAAUACCAUAGGGGGUAGAGCACUGUUUCGGCUAGGGGGUCAUCCCGACUUACCAAACCGAUGCAAACUCCGAAUACCUAUGAGUACUAUCCGGGAGACAGACUGCGGGUGCUAACGUCCGUAGUCAAGAGGAAAACAAUCCAGACCGCCAGCUAAGGCCCCAAAAUCAUAGUUAAGUGGGAAACGAUGUGGGAAGGCAUAGACAGCUAGGAGGUUGGCUUAGAAGCAGCCACCCUUUAAAGAAAGCGUAAUAGCUCACUAGUCGAGUCGGCCUGCGCGGAAGAUGUAACGGGGCUAAAACUAUGUGCCGAAGCUGCGGAUGUAUACUUUGUAUACGUGGUAGGGGAGCGUUCUGUAAGCCGAUGAAGGUGUGUUGAGAAGCAUGCUGGAGGUAUCAGAAGUGCGAAUGCUGACGUGAGUAACGACAAAACGGGUGAAAAACCCGUUCGCCGAAAGACCAAGGGUUCCAGUCCAACGUUAAUCGGGGCUGGGUGAGUCGACCCCUAAGGCGAGGCCGAAAGGCGUAGUCGAUGGGAAAAUGGUUAAUAUUCCAUUACUUCUGUGUAAUGCGAUGAGAGGACGGAGAAGGCUAAAUCAGCCUGGCGUUGGUUGUCCAGGUGAAAGGAUGUAGGCAUGUAUCUUAGGCAAAUCCGGGGUACUCUAUGCUGAGAUCUGAUAGCAAGCUGUACUUGUACAGCGAAGUGGUUGAUGCCAUGCUUCCAGGAAAAGUCUCUAAGCUUCAGUUACACAGGAAUCGUACCCGAAACCGACAC